GAUGAACGCUGACAGAAUGCUUAACACAUGCAAGUCGAUGGGGAAGUGGUGCUUGCACCAUGGCAACCAUGGCGGACGGGUGAGUAACGCGUAAGGGACUUACCUGCAGGACUGGGAUAACAGGGGGAAACUCCUGACAAGACCGGAUAAUGUCAUGGAGCUGCAUGGCUUUAUGAUGAAAGGAGACGCCUGCGGAGAGCCUUGCGUCCUAUUAGCUAGUUGGUGAGGUAAUGGCUCACCAAGGCGAAGAUAGGUAGCCGGCCUGAGAGGGUGGACGGCCACAAGGGGACUGAGAUACGGCCCUUACUCCUACGGGAGGCAGCAGUGGGGAAUAUUGGACAAUGGGGGCAACCCUGAUCCAGCAAUUCUGUGUGCACGAAGAAGGUUUUCGGAUUGUAAAGUGCUUUCAGCAGGGAAGAAGUAAGUGACGGUACCUGCAGAAGAAGCGACGGCGAAAUACGU
rnacentral:rRNA from 1 species